rnacentral:rRNA from 1 species
AUCUUGCGCAAUGGACGAAAGUCUGACGCAGCCACGCCGCGUGAGUGAAGAAGGCCUUCGGGUUGUAAAGCUCUGUCACCUGGGACGAAAACACUUACGGUUAAUAGCCGUAGGAAUUGACGGUACCAGGGGAGGAAGCACCGGCUAACUUCGUGCCAGCAGCCGCGGUAAUACGAAGGGUGCAAGCGUUGCUCGGAAUUAUUGGGCGUAAAGGGUAGGUAGGUUGUCUUGUUUGUCUAAGGUGAAAUCCCAGGGCUUAACCCUGGAAGUGCCUCAGAAACGGCAAGACUAGAGUCCUAGAGGGGUUUGUGGAAUUCCCGGUGUAGCGGUGAAAUGCGUAGAGAUCGGGAGGAACACCAGCGGCGAAGGCGGCAAACUGGAUAGGAACUGACACUCAACUACGAAAGCGUGGGGAUCAAACAGG